CGCCCCCGGCCUUAUUACUAUUAUUACUCAAUUAUAUGCCACUUGUUCAAAAUUGAAAAUUUCCCACAAGGUAGACUGUUUUCCAGCCCCCACCAUUCACUCUUUUAUUUGCUGGCAACGUGUUUCUAGAAUUGUUUGACUUUCUAUAAAAGUCUCCAUAUAUUUCAGGAGUAAUUUUCAAGUACAGUAACUCUCAAAUGUAGGAUGCCAUUGCUGUCAUUGCAUUGAUUAUUGAGAAAAUAAAUAAAUAGCAAAACAAUGCAAGGAAUAGUCAUCAUAUCCCGAGUUUCCAGAUGCACGAUCUUCUCUCAGUGAAAGGAAUGAAAUUCUUUUUUCAUCUUUCAGACUUGGCUUAUUAAAGUAAUUUCCACCAAGUUGUUUCUGGCAGUUAAUAAGGAGAAUUUUAAUUCACAGAGGAAACAGAGGAAAGGGGAAGGAAGCGAAUAUCUGCCUUCUAUAAAUCAGACUCUUUAAGGCAUUGAUUUCAUUAAAUAUUUAAAAUAAUCCAAUGAUGUUCAGAUUAGCGUCUCCAUGUUACACAGCAGGACAGUGCGACUUCAGAUGAUAAAACUUCCUGCCUAAUGUGACACAGCCAGAAAAUGGCAGAGUGAAGCCACACUGCUUGGGCCCACCCAAGAAUUUAAUCUUCUCAGCCAAGAGCAUUAAGAAAAAUAACAAACAAAAGAGGUGGCAUGAUUCCAUCCAGGAAAGACAGUAGCACCUGAAAAUCCAGAAUUUUCAGGGUGUGGUUCCAUGGGCAGCUUAAAGGGAACACAAUGGCCCCCACCAAGGUGGCUUGUUUCACUUUCCUUGUCUUCUCCACAGACCAGCAGAAGGCCCCACCGGAGAUAAAGCUCAGAAUGUACAAAUCCCAAAUUUACCCAGCCCAGGAAUAUCCAGAGACCAAUAACUUCCUGGUCUCCCAAUCUGGCGGUCUCCUUUUCUUUGAUAACCACCCCAGUUGUUUUCAUUUCUCAUUUCUUUUUCUUGCAUGUAACCAUUGGCUUGUUUCCAUGCCACCCAGCUCCUACAAUAGAAGCGAUGUGAGAUUUUCUGCUACAGCAACAUUCUUCGGGUGUUAAAGUUGCUUUGUUUUAAAAAGCCUGAUGGUGGCUUAGCCACAGAAGAAUGAACAUGACGCCUUGGCUCCUUGCUGGGGAGGCACCCGUGGGAUGGUGUCACCUGUCACUGGGAGACAAAGAAAGUCGUGCUCUGUCACUCUUUGGGUGGCAAUUCUGUUGAAGUCACUGACCCUGCUUCCUCAAAUUUUGCCUCUGCAUCUGAUGGGGUGCAGGCUUUUUUAGGGUUCUUUUCCAGAUGUCUUUUGUGAACACCACCCUCUGAGACAGAGAUAUGGGGUUUUAGGAUACCUGCUUUAGUGCCUUUUAUGACUUCAUCUUUCUGCUUGCUGCUCUUGAGAAAAUGGACUUCACACAAUAGGGAGAUUUAUGACUCUUCCUAGCAGCUUUCACAGAAAGAGUUAGCAGAGUGAAUGAGGAAACGUCUUUUCUCUUUUUGCCCAUACCAGCAUUUCGGGGUGUGAAGACAGUGUGCUGAGUCUUCUUGUUUAUAAAUCUACUUUCCAUGAGCCUUCAGAUAAAGGAGAACUAGUUUUAUUUAAAGCAAGCUAAUAGUGUUAAUUAUGAGAAAUAUGAUAAAGUUUUUUAAAAACCCUAGUGAUUAACAAAAGACCAAUACUGAAAUUAUAAAGAAGAAAAUUCUAGAAUCUUCCUUGGUGACACUCAAUUCAUGUGUAAUCCAAAUACCCAAGCAUUUGGUAUUGCAUUCUACAAUUAUUUGUCAAAUGUCUGCUACACAUUAGGCAUUGUGAUAGGCAGCAGAUACACAAGAACAAACCAGAUAGGCGUGGUUUCUCAGGGAGCUGAUUAGCUACUGAAGAGGACAGACACCUAGACGCUACACAAUAAAUUUGGUCUAUUGAAGAGAGGGUCCUAACUCACUGGAAAUCAAUGAGAGUGCUCAGGAUGAAGUGAUGCUCAGAGACUCCUGUACCUUGUCCUCUUUCUCCAUUGUGUUGGGCCCAAGAUUAAAUGGUAACAUCAAAAAGCUUAAUUCUCUAACCCAGGAGAUUCCAUGAUCAUGAAGGUGAUGAUAAACCCUUUCAGCUCGGGACCAUCCAUCAUAUCAUGACACUCAGAGGUGAUGUCAAAUCUUUGAUAUCAAAUUUUUUUUGAAGUUCAUUUUCUGUCAUGAUAUAAUUGUUGGGUCUAGGUCUGCCUUUCUAUUUUAUAUUGGAGAGUAUUCGGUGAUGGAGGGGUGUGUGUGUAUGUGUGUGUGUGUGUGUGUGUGUGUGUGUCUUUAUUUUUUUCUUUUCUGUAGCUUAGAUCUUGGUUACAAAAUAACUGUAAUAUAGCCUAUUAACCACACUUUAUUGUAGGGUUUUAAGAGCUACAAGGAAGUAUUCAAUCCUGCCACAUUUCUGCAUACUUAUAGGGAGAAAGGAUGGAUACUUUCAUUAUUGCUGUUAUCAGAAGAAAAAGAGUAAGAAAUACUUACUUUUGUUCCUCAUUCUUCAACCCAUUUAAGAUUUUGAAUACCCAUGCACAGGGAAAAAAACCUAUCAUGAAUUAGUAGAUAAUAGUGAAGUAUAUUCCACAUACCAUAUAACCAAACAUUUGUAUCAAAUAUCCAUAUGCCUUUGGGAAAGCUGCCUCCUCUUUUUGUACUUAAUUUUGUAAUUGUGAAACCAGGAGGAUGCACUAGGUAAUCUCAAAAUUUAUUUCUACUUCUAAAAUUUCAAGUCCAUGCCUCAGACCUUAACACAUCUCAUGACAUUAAGAUAUUCUAAGUCCUAGCCCAGAGGCACUUCCAAAUGACUUUUGAUGUAUAAUACCAGAUAAAGCAACUGGGUGAAUUUUAAAAUAUGACCUUAAGUAAAGCUGCAAAGAAAACCCUAAACAGCUCCAUCUCUGAGGUUCCAUCCUCUCUUAGAAGACUGAGAUGUCCUCCUAUAAUCCAGGUGUAAAAAUAUUCCAGGGGAUGCUUUGAGAGACAGGCAAGAGAAGGUAGAGAGGGAGAGAUGAGGACUUGUCAAAGCAGACACAAACGAAUGUGCAACCAUUGACUGACUGAAUGGGUCAGUUGACCGACGAAGUUUUUAUCUCUAAUCUGGGAAGCGAUUCAAUCACCAAAGCGGAGUAAGAAAAUCCUUCUCUACUAAGAUGGAACAAGUGCUAAAAGUGGUAUUCAAAGCACAAGUUUCAAAUCCUGCCACCUCCUGACAUAUAUACACUUGCUAUGUAACCUUGGUGGGUUUAAGUAAUUUCUUUGACCUUCAGAUGAUGAUGAUAAUGAUGAUGAUGAAUAGAGGUAGGGUCUUGCUAUGUUGUCCAGGCUGGUCUUGAACUUCCAGCCUCAAGCAAUCCUCCUGACUCAGCCUCCUGAGUAGCUGGGAUUAUAGGCCACUGUGUCCAGUCUUCAGAUUAUUAAAUUGGUAAGAGUUUUUUGUGAGAAUGCAAUGAGAUCAUAUAUUUAAGAGUUAUUGGCUCAUAGUGCAUGCUCAAUGAAAAUGCUGACUCUAAUUAGAAUAAUGAUUUUGCUAUGGUCUGAAAGUUUGCGUCCCCUCCAAAUUCAUAUGUUGAAAUCCUAAGCCCCAAGGUAAAAAUAUUAGGACAUAGGGCCUUUGGGAAGUUAUUAAGUUGGGAGAGGAGAGUACUCAUGAAUAGGAUUAGUGCCUUUAUUAAGGAGGCCCAAGGGAGCUCAUUUGUCCCUUCUGCCAAGUGAAAGUAUAGCAAAAAGAUGGCUGUCUAUAAACCAGGAAGUGGCCCUCACCAAACACUGAAUCUGGGGGUACCUUGAUCUUGGACUUCUGUUCUCCAGAACUGUGAGAAAUAAAUUGCUGUUGCUUAUAAGCUGUGCAAUUUAUAGUGGUUUAUUAUAGCAGCCCGAAUGCAGGGAGAUUUCUUCACUCAAACCCCCCGAGAAGCAGUGGAACAACUUGGUAGUAAAAGUAGGUAAGAAUGGGAGCAGCCAGUUCAUGUUUACUCAAACGCACUGCACCCUCUCUCUCACCUCACACCUGUGUUUCAUUCUUUCAAGUCUUCCCAUCUACACUCUGCCUUUCUUGAGAUCAGAUGCUGUCCCCUGUACUUGAGCACUCUUCCCUCACUUCUUUUACCUAGUGAGCUCUUAUUUUUAUUCUCCAGGCCUCAAUUUAGAUAUCUCCAGCUUUCUCUAAGAUUCCCUCCCUGCCCUCCCCCACCAAGCCCAGGUUACCACCCGCAGUGUGGUCUCCUGCACCCUCUAUGUGCCCUCCUUAGAACUCUUAACCUGCCAUGUUGCUACGGUCUGUCCCACACCUCUCUUUCCCACCAGACCUUAAGGAAAAGAAGGACCAAGCCUGGAUGUUUCCACUGUUCAAUCUCCAGCACUCAGUCCAGUUUUAGAGGAGAACAGACCCUCAACAUAUACUUGCUGGUUGAGAAAAGAGAGGCCUUCUCAGUACCACAGGAAGAGUCUAGGGAGAACGAUAGUCCCAAGAGGUGGUCCUUGGCAAGCUGGUUCUGUAGUGGAAGAAGACUGGAAAUGACUGCCUACCGCUGCUCUCACAUGAAGUUUCUCACUCAUCGGGAACCAAGGUGCUGCAUAAUGUCCUGAUCUGCCAAUCUUAGCAUGUCACCUGCAUCCAGAACAGCAGGAAGGAGAAAAGCAGAAGACCCUUUCCCUCUACAACAACAUCCUAGAAAUAACACACGACACUUCUAUGCAAAACUUUAUUGAUGAAAACUCAGUCUGAUGGCUGCUCUUGGCUAUAAAAGGACUGAGAGAAUUAGGUUUUCAGCCAGGACAUAACUCUGGACUGUUAAAAGCCAGGGUUCUGGCCGGGCGCAAUGGCUCACGCCUGUAAUCCCAGCACUUUGGGAGGCCGAGGCGGGCG
rnacentral:lncRNA from 1 species